GUUGAAACACCGGUCCCCCCGUACGAUCACCGAAGUUAAGCAUCGUUGAGCCUGGUCUGUACAUAGAUGGGUGUCCACUUUUGAAUACCAGGUGCUGUAA